GACGAACGCUGGCGGCGUGCCUAAUACAUGCAAGUCGUACGCUUCUUUUUCCACCGGAGCUUGCUCCACCGGAAAAAGAAGAGUGGCGAACGGGUGAGUAACACGUGGGUAACCUGCCCAUCAGAAGGGGAUAACACUUGGAAACAGGUGCUAAUACCGUAUAACAAUCGAAACCGCAUGGUUUUGAUUUGAAAGGCGCUUUCGGGUGUCGCUGAUGGAUGGACCCGCGGUGCAUUAGCUAGUUGGUGAGGUAACGGCUCACCAAGGCCACGAUGCAUAGCCGACCUGAGAGGGUGAUCGGCCACAUUGGGACUGAGACACGGCCCAAACUCCUACGGGAGGCAGCAGUAGGGAAUCUUCGGCAAUGGACGAAAGUCUGACCGAGCAACGCCGCGUGAGUGAAGAAGGUUUUCGGAUCGUAAAACUCUGUUGUUAGAGAAGAACAAGGAUGAGAGUAACUGUUCAUCCCUUGACGGUAUCUAACCAGAAAGCCACGGCUAACUACGUGCCAGCAGCCGCCGUAACAC
rnacentral:rRNA from 1 species